AUUGAACGCUGGCGGCAUGGCUAAAACAUGCAAGUCGAACGUGUGUAGCAAUACACAAGUGGCGAAAGGGUCAGUAAUGCGAUCGAAUGUACCCUGAGGUGGGGGAUAGCUAUGGGAAACUGUAGGUAAUACCCCAUGAUCUCCUCGGAGCAAAGGUUUACCGCCUUGGGAGCAGCGAUCGUCCUAUCAGGUAGUUGGCGGGGUAAUGGCCCACCAAGCCGAAGACGGGUAGCGGGUGUGAGAGCACGGCCCGCGACAUCGGAACUGAGACACUGUCCGGACUUCUACGGAAGGCUGCAGUAACGAAUCUUCCGCAAUGGGCGAAAGCCUGACGGAGCAAUGCCGCGUGUGGGAUGAAGCAUCUCUGACGUGUAAACCACUGUCAGGGGUCGGAAACAAUGAUUGACCCCAAAGGAAGUGGCGACUAACUCUGUGCCAGCAGCCGCGGUAAU
rnacentral:rRNA from 1 species